ACGAACGCUGGCGGCGUGCUUAACACAUGCAAGUCGAACGGUAAGGCCCCUUCGGGGGUACACGAGUGGCGAACGGGUGAGUAACACGUGGGUAAUCUGCCCUGCACUUCGGGAUAAGCCUGGGAAACUGGGUCUAAUACCGGAUAUAAACUCCUGCCGCAUGGUGGGGGUUGGAAAGUUUUUCGGUGCAGGAUGAGCCCGCGGCCUAUCAGCUUGUUGGUGGGGUAAUGGCCUACCAAGGCGACGACGGGUAGCCGGCGUGAGAGGGUGAUCGGCCACACUGGGACUGAGACACGGCCCAGACUCCUACGGGAGGCAGCAGUGGGGAAUACUGCACAAUGGGCGAAAGCCUGAUGCAGCGACGCCGCGUGGGGGAUGACGGUCUUCGGAUUGUAAACCCCUUUCAGUAGGGACGAAGCGCAAGUGACGGUACCUGCAGAAGAAGCACCGGCUAACUACGU
rnacentral:rRNA from 1 species